UGGUGACCUGAGACUCCCCGGCUGUCUCUCUGUCCCAGGCCCGUCCUGGCCGUGGGCACAGGCUGAGUCGUGGUAGAGUCUGUGAGGUCCUGACCC
rnacentral:pre_miRNA from 1 species